ACCUCCUCCACCACCACCACUUCCAUGAUCCUGGGCAAGAAAGACUAGUGCAGACAGUGUAACAAACCGAGAGAUUGCCAAAUUCUGGAGGCAGAAACACGCUGAGGAAGAGGCUCUCCUGCUGGCAGCCAUCAAGGCCGCAGCACGCAAAAGGGCCCGCAAUUUGUCGGAGUAAGACUACAAGAGUUUCGAGGAGUCGCUGAGCGAUGAAGAGUACAACGCUAAGCAGAAAACCAUAGCCCCAACUAAUGACAGCAAUGGCAAUGGAAAGAACAAUAAGUUCGCGUGGGGAUAAAAGACUUGUGGACGAAGAGCAAGUAUGCAUACCUAAACCAACCAGCUGUUGAGUCUACGAACGAUCGAAGGAGACGUGCAUCCACUUUUAUACCGAACUUUCUCAACUAUAAACCAGCUCCUUUGUAUCCUAUAUCACUUGGUGUCUUUUAAAUCAUUGAGAUGGAGGAGCUUUUUCAAUGUCAACUUUGCAUUACCUCAUAUCAGGAAAAUAUAUUGCUGUGCAUUUAGUUUCCGUUUCAGUGAAACCUCCGUUCAUUUGUUUGUUUGUCCUUGCAUAU